CAGAGUUACAGACUCCCAUCAAACCAUCUGCGAAUCAUUACCCUUAACUGUUGCCUUCGGCGGCUAGGCGUCCCGGAAAGGCCCUCGGUCCUCCCGGAUCCUCGGUCUCCCGCUCGCGGUGAGGGCUGCCCGCCGGAGUGCCUAACCAAACUCUUGAUAUUUAAGGUCUCUCUGAGUGAAAAGCUUAAAUAAUCA
rnacentral:misc_RNA from 1 species